UGAACGCUAGCUACAGGCUUAACACAUGGCAAGUCGAGGGGCAGCAUGGUCUUAGCUUGCUAAGGCCGAUGGCGACCGGCGCACGGGUGAGUAACACGUAUCCAACCUGCCGUCUACUCUUGGACAGCCUUCUGAAAGGAAGAUUAAUACAAGAUGGCAUCAUGAGUCCGCAUGUUCACAUGAUUAAAGGUAUUCCGGUAGACGAUGGGGAUGCGUUCCAUUAGAUAGUAGGCGGGGUAACGGCCCACCUAGUCUUCGAUGGAUAGGGGUUCUGAGAGGAAGGUCCCCCACAUUGGAACUGAGACACGGUCCAAACUCCUACGGGAGGCAGCAGUGAGGAAUAUUGGUCAAUGGGCGAGAGCCUGAACCAGCCAAGUAGCGUGAAGGAUGACUGCCCUAUGGGUUGUAAACUUCUUUUAUAAAGGAAUAAAGUCGGGUAUGGAUACCCGUUUGCAUGUACUUUAUGAAUAAGGAUCGGCUAACUCCGUG
rnacentral:rRNA from 1 species